AUGGAGGGGGUGUGGAGGAAGGCCAAGAAGGCGAUGUGCGUCGGCCUGUGCGUGCACCUCCCCGCCGUCGCCGGCGACCGGGAGGGCGGCGCCAGCGAGCGCCGCGCGUCGGAUGCGGUCUCCCUGGACUCUGCGGCGGCGGCGCACGCAUCGGCGCCGAACACGCCGGCGGCGACGGCCACGGCGGAGGCCAGCGGCACCCGCGCGCUGCGGAGGUCCAAGUCCGGAGGCAAGUCCUCCAAGGAAGGCACCAGCAAGGGGGCCGCGGUGGCGAAGGCGCUCGAAGGCAUCGCCGACGCGCCGGGGACGCUAGCGGAGGCGCGGCUCGCCGUCGCCGCGCACGCCGUGCUGCGCUCCCCCGACGCCGACGCCGACAUAUGGGACGCGGAGGCGACCUGCGUCAACAGAAGCCUCCUCUCGGCGAUCGACGAGAUCCUCCAACUCAAGGAGACCGCUGCGUUCCCCACGGCCUCCCCGGCUCGCCGCCGCAUGGACGGCGCCCUCGCCGUCGCCAUGUCGCGCCUCAUGGACGAGUUCCUCCUCCUCAGGGUCUGGGACGCUUCCCAGCUGGAGGGCAAGGAAGGCCUCCGCGUCGCCGUCGAGAAGCUCUCAGUAUCGUUGGCUUCGGCUUCAGUUGGCAGCGGCGUGUGGCCCGCCUUCCCCACCGGCGGCACCACCAGCACCGGGGAGCUCAGCGUGAGCACCACCGACGAGCUCCGCGCGUCCGGCAGGAGCCUCUCGAGCUGGCCUGACAACGCGCUGACCACCUCCGUGGAUGGCACCUUCUCGGAUGACCUCCAUCUGAUCUGCCCGGCAAGCUUGCCUGUCCUCCAUGAGAUCGCGACGCGGGUCAUCCGUGCGACCGUGCCGGCUACACAAAAGAGCUGCUCCAGACAUUCACCAAGGCCCCCUGCCAUGUCUUAGACAGGUUCUUGUCAAUCCUUGAGCUGGACCGGCCUUUCUUGGCGGCCAACAGAGUCAACUUCGAGGAUGCCGAGUGGUGGACAGCGGAGGACAUGGUAAAGCGGUGGAUCUUGGCGACCAAGCUCGUCGGGAAGGUCCUCACCGUCAUGCAAACCCAGCUCAUGGCGCAGGAAUGCGGAGCCUUCGACAGGUUCAAGGACGACUACUUCAUGGCCAUCGCGAAGCAGAGCAUCCUCGUCCUGCUCAAGUUCGCGGACGGGUUCACCAGCACCAGAUCACCGGAGAAGCUCAUCUAUGUCCUGGAAUUGUACGGGGCACUAGACAGCUCCGCUCCUAGCCUCCUGCCCCUGUUCACCGGGAAGCACGGGGAGCUCAUCUCCCGGCAGGUGCCAGUCGUUCUCGCCAAGCUGGAGCGCGCGUUGAGGGCCGCGACCGGCGGCCUCGUCGCCAAGAUCCGAACAGACUCUUCUCGGGCAGAAGGCGUCGGCGUCCAUCCGCUGGCGCGGUACGCCAUGACCUGUGUCGAGCUGCUGGCGCCGCACCGCGAGGCGCUGGACCUCAUCCUCGCGAACGCCGGCGAAGAUCCCGCCGGCGGAGCCGAGGGCGUGGCGUCGUUUGGCGGGCUCGUGUCGGAGCUGAUCGCCGGCAUGGAACGCAACCUUGAGGAGAAAUCCGCGGUCGCCUGCGCGGGCGGCUCGCUGUCGCGCCACCUCUUCCUGGCCAACAACACAAGCUUCGUGCUGAGCCGCGCCGCGGACGCCGGCGUCGCGUCUCUGCUCGGGGGCGACUGGGCCGCGCGGCGUCGGGGCCGGCUCGAGCAGCACGCGGCGAGCUACCUCGAGGCCUCCUGGGGCCCGGCCGUCGCGUGCCUGGAGGCGGCCGCGGGUGGCGGCGGCAAGCCGGCGCGGGCGCUGGCGAAGUUCAACGCCGCGUUCGAGGAGGCGCGCGGCAGCCAGGCGGGCCGCGAGGUCCCGGACCCCGCGUUCCGGGCGGCCCUGCGGGAGGCCGUGUCGGAGAUGGUGGUUCCUGCUUACGGCGCGUUCCUGGAGAAGCACCCCAAGCUUGGAAAAUCCGUCAGGUACACGGCUGCCGACGUGGCCCAAUCUCUGUCGGAAUUGUUCGAAGGAGAUACUGGCAUGGCGGAAAAUCGUUGGUGAUGUUGCACAGUGUAGUGUGUAGAAUCGAAGUACCAAGUAGCAAAACCUCUCUAACCAUCUGUGUGAGAGAGUAAGCCUAGUCUACGGACAUUUCCGAGACUUUUUUUUUGAUAAUACGUACCUGUAUUAGAAGAUAAGGGAAACGUACAAAUACAAGUACAUACUGCAAGGAUACAGAGGAGGAAGCUGUCUCCAGCCUACAGAGAAGACCCUAGAAAAGAACAAAAAAGCAAACGAGCCUUCAGGUCUCUCUGUUCUUGCCAACAGGAGCUGCCAUCGCCGGAAAUCGUCGUCGUCGUCGAAGAAGACGCCAGGAGAAUCCGGAGACGAGCAGCGCCACGCCCAAGCCAGGAGAAGCCUCAUCGCACCAUGGCUUUGACACGAGCCGCAAUAGUAACCCGCCCCUUGAGAC